rnacentral:snoRNA from 2 species
GCAGCUCGUUUGCUCAGCGCAGCACCCAAUUGGUACAUAACCUUGCGAUGUGCUGCUUUACUGAGCAGGCGGCUGCUAGAUAAAUGACGGACUCCAAGAAUGUUGUGGCAGAUUCAUAUUGCCGCUGUGUUCAUUUCACCCCGCCGACAU